GGUUAAGCGACUAAGCGUACACGGUGGAUGCCCUGGCAGUCAGAGGCGAUGAAGGACGUGCUAAUCUGCGAUAAGCGUCGGUAAGGUGAUAUGAACCGUUAUAACCGGCGAUUUCCGAAUGGGGAAACCCAGUGUGUUUCGACACACUAUCAUUAACUGAAUCCAUAGGUUAAUGAGGCGAACCGGGGGAACUGAAACAUCUAAGUACCCCGAGGAAAAGAAAUCAACCGAGAUUCCCCCAGUAGCGGCGAGCGAACGGGGAGGAGCCCAGAGCCUGAAUCAGUGUGUGUGUUAGUGGAAGCGUCUGGAAAGGCGCGCGAUACAGGGUGACAGCCCCGUACACAAAAAUGCACAUGCUGUGAGCUCGAUGAGUAGGGCGGGACACGUGGUAUCCUGUCUGAAUAUGGGGGGACCAUCCUCCAAGGCUAAAUACUCCUGACUGACCGAUAGUGAACCAGUACCGUGAGGGAAAGGCGAAAAGAACCCCGGCGAGGGGAGUGAAAAAGAACCUGAAACCGUGUACGUACAAGCAGUGGGAGCCUCUUUUAUGGGGUGACUGCGUACCUUUUGUAUAAUGGGUCAGCGACUUAUAUUCUGUAGCAAGGUUAACCGAAUAGGGGAGCCGAAGGGAAACCGAGUCUUAACUGGGCGUUAAGUUGCAGGGUAUAGACCCGAAACCCGGUGAUCUAGCCAUGGGCAGGUUGAAGGUUGGGUAACACUAACUGGAGGACCGAACCGACUAAUGUUGAAAAAUUAGCGGAUGACUUGUGGCUGGGGGUGAAAGGCCAAUCAAACCGGGAGAUAGCUGGUUCUCCCCGAAAGCUAUUUAGGUAGCGCCUCGUGAAUUCAUCUCCGGGGGUAGAGCACUGUUUCGGCAAGGGGGUCAUCCCGACUUACCAACCCGAUGCAAACUGCGAAUACCGGAGAAUGUUAUCACGGGAGACACACGGCGGGUGCUAACGUCCGUCGUGAAGAGGGAAACAACCCAGACCGCCAGCUAAGGUCCCAAAGUCAUGGUUAAGUGGGAAACGAUGUGGGAAGGCCCAGACAGCCAGGAUGUUGGCUUAGAAGCAGCCAUCAUUUAAAGAAAGCGUAAUAGCUCACUGGUCGAGUCGGCCUGCGCGGAAGAUGUAACGGGGCUAAACCAUGCACCGAAGCUGCGGCAGCGACACUGUGUGUUGUUGGGUAGGGGAGCGUUCUGUAAGCCUGUGAAGGUGUGCUGUGAGGCAUGCUGGAGGUAUCAGAAGUGCGAAUGCUGACAUAAGUAACGAUAAAGCGGGUGAAAAGCCCGCUCGCCGGAAGACCAAGGGUUCCUGUCCAACGUUAAUCGGGGCAGGGUGAGUCGACCCCUAAGGCGAGGCCGAAAGGCGUAGUCGAUGGGAAACAGGUUAAUAUUCCUGUACUUGGUGUUACUGCGAAGGGGGGACGGAGAAGGCUAUGUUGGCCGGGCGACGGUUGUCCCGGUUUAAGCGUGUAGGCUGGUUUUCCAGGCAAAUCCGGAAAAUCAAGGCUGAGGCGUGAUGACGAGGCACUACGGUGCUGAAGCAACAAAUGCCCUGCUUCCAGGAAAAGCCUCUAAGCAUCAGGUAACAUCAAAUCGUACCCCAAACCGACACAGGUGGUCAGGUAGAGAAUACCAAGGCGCUUGAGAGAACUCGGGUGAAGGAACUAGGCAAAAUGGUGCCGUAACUUCGGGAGAAGGCACGCUGAUAUGUAGGUGAAGUCCCUCGCGGAUGGAGCUGAAAUCAGUCGAAGAUACCAGCUGGCUGCAACUGUUUAUUAAAAACACAGCACUGUGCAAACACGAAAGUGGACGUAUACGGUGUGACGCCUGCCCGGUGCCGGAAGGUUAAUUGAUGGGGUCAGCGCAAGCGAAGCUCUUGAUCGAAGCCCCGGUAAACGGCGGCCGUAACUAUAACGGUCCUAAGGUAGCGAAAUUCCUUGUCGGGUAAGUUCCGACCUGCACGAAUGGCGUAAUGAUGGCCAGGCUGUCUCCACCCGAGACUCAGUGAAAUUGAACUCGCUGUGAAGAUGCAGUGUACCCGCGGCAAGACGGAAAGACCCCGUGAACCUUUACUAUAGCUUGACACUGAACAUUGAGCCUUGAUGUGUAGGAUAGGUGGGAGGCUUUGAAGUGUGGACGCCAGUCUGCAUGGAGCCGACCUUGAAAUACCACCCUUUAAUGUUUGAUGUUCUAACGUGGACCCGUGAUCCGGGUUGCGGACAGUGUCUGGUGGGUAGUUUGACUGGGGCGGUCUCCUCCUAAAGAGUAACGGAGGAGCACGAAGGUUGGCUAAUCCUGGUCGGACAUCAGGAGGUUAGUGCAAUGGCAUAAGCCAGCUUGACUGCGAGCGUGACGGCGCGAGCAGGUGCGAAAGCAGGUCAUAGUGAUCCGGUGGUUCUGAAUGGAAGGGCCAUCGCUCAACGGAUAAAAGGUACUCCGGGGAUAACAGGCUGAUACCGCCCAAGAGUUCAUAUCGACGGCGGUGUUUGGCACCUCGAUGUCGGCUCAUCACAUCCUGGGGCUGAAGUAGGUCCCAAGGGUAUGGCUGUUCGCCAUUUAAAGUGGUACGCGAGCUGGGUUUAGAACGUCGUGAGACAGUUCGGUCCCUAUCUGCCGUGGGCGCUGGAGAACUGAGGGGGGCUGCUCCUAGUACGAGAGGACCGGAGUGGACGCAUCACUGGUGUUCGGGUUGUCAUGCCAAUGGCACUGCCCGGUAGCUAAAUGCGGAAGAGAUAAGUGCUGAAAGCAUCUAAGCACGAAACUUGCCCCGAGAUGAGUUCUCCCUGACCCUUUAAGGGUCCUGAAGGAACGUUGAAGACGACGACGUUGAUAGGCCGGGUGUGUAAGCGCAGCGAUGCGUUGAGCUAACCGGUACUAAUGAACCGUGAGGCUUAACCUUAC
rnacentral:rRNA from 1 species